rnacentral:lncRNA from 1 species
GGAGGUUUGAGACAGGAUCUAACUAUGCAGUUGAGACUGCCCUGGAACUCACUACGUAGCCCGGGCUGGUCUCAAACUCACAGCGAUCCUUCUGCCUCAGCCUCCUGAGUGCUGGGAUUACAGGCGUGUGUCACCGCACCGGGCUGAACUGGAUGAAUUUUAAAGAAGUGCUGCAUCCUGGCUGAAAUCCUGCUGUCUCACCACCAUGACUGUAUAUCAGCAGUGUGAACCGUGAAAAUGAAAGGCGGUCCGGGAAGUGCUGCUUUUAAAUUUCCAGACUCUGCAGAGGAAGAGGAAGAGUGCGGAAUGAGACGGCCAGCAGGAGCAGAGGGAGCGCCGCGGUUUACCUCCACCUCUGUGGGCGUAUUCAGCGUCUCAGAUUACGGAUCCAUCCGCCAAUUCGCUGCUGAGGUAGAAACGCCCUCGGAGGGCACGGGGACGUCCUAGAAGGGUCUGAGGUGCUUUGCAGCUGUGGUAAUUUCUCUUUCACAAUGCUGGCUUUCAGAGAAUGUGUCCUUCAUGCUGGCUCCUCCAGGGCUGGCCGGGUCUAACUGCCUACAAGAUAUCUAACACCUAUCUACAAUAUCAGGACCCCAUGGGGGCCCAUCGGGUGGUGCCUAAGGGGCCUGCAGCGUGCGUCACCCCUGAACCCCAGCUGUGUGGCCCUCCUAGGAAGUGCUGAUUCGCUGUUGCCAUUUCCUUUUCCCCAGCAACCACUCAAGGCACCUGGUCGGAAAGGGCGUCUCACCCCGCCCCCCACACUGUGGAAAUGCCUGCCCCAAACCAAGACACUGAAUUCACGCAGAUCGUCUUGACAGCCCACAAAAUUUCUCUCCAGUCUCCAGCAGUCUAACUCACUAAAAUUGAGAAAGCCUUUUCCCCUCCUUACUCAAGGUCACACAGACUGCCUAAAUAGGAGCUCGAUCUUCUUCCCCCAACACAACAAAACAGUCUCUGUUCAAAGCAUGCAGAUCUAAGCUUCCUUAAAGACCUUGUAACAUACACAAAAAUCACAUAUAAAUGCAUAUAAUUUACAUACAAAUAAAGUGCCUAUUGUUAUGAGGUUCCCAAAACUAUCAAGUCAAAUCCAAAAGCAUCUCUACCAGGCGGGUGGAGGUGCACACCUGUAAUUCCAGAACUCAGGAGGUUUAGGCAGGAGGAUCACCUGAGUUUGGCUACUAGACAAUGAGUUCAAGACCAUCUUGAACCACACAGCGAGACCCUGUCUCAAAAGUAACAAACAAAAGUCACCUGUAGAAACUAGAAUAGCUCCUUUGGAAAAAAAAAAAAUUUGAACCACACAGCGAGACCCUGUCUCAAAAGUAACAAACAAAAGUCACCUGUAGAAACUAGAAUAGCUCCUUUGGAAGAAAAAAAAAAAACUUUAUUCACAAUGUGCACACAUAACACAUAUUAUCUUAAACUUUUCUUCCUUUUCCUAUUAUUUUUAAGUCCUUCUGAACCUGCUAAGAAAAUAAAAUAGAACACCUAGAAACUGACCUCACAAAUAAAUGAAACGAGCUGGGCACGGCGGGUCGCGCCUGUAAUCCCAGCACUGGUUUCUCAUGAGUUUGAGGCCAGCCCUGGGCUACAUAGGGAGUUCAAGACCAGCCUGAACUCCAUAGUGAGACCUUCACUAACAAACAAACAAACAAAUGAAAUGACAUUUUAGAGUCUAUGGUUGGCUCUCCUCUUGGUACAAGUAAAGACACACAAAAGUACAUACAGUAUUUAUUUCACUUGAACGCAACCACUAACGAGGAUCCGUGAAAUCAGGUACUUGAAAACAUGUGAACUGUCCCAACUGCCAGAGGGAGGAGGAAGCUGUGAUCAGAGAGAAGCAGCGGGAUGGCGAUGAAAUCCCAAAGUUCCGAGGAAAACCUUUGGUGCCCGGCCUCCGAACACUGCCUGGGGCGGUCCUUCUAGAGGCCACGCCCUCUGUGGCCCCGCCCACAAUGACCCUGAGGCUCAGAGCCUGGCUCUGGAGAGUCAGCGGUCUCUGCUCUGCAGGACGAAGAGCUCGCCCUGACUAAUGGGAGAGGAAACCUCGUCGCUCUGUUGGAGCGACCGCCUGGGAAGAGAAGCCUGAGACCUGGCGGAGAGGAGAGGCCUGCCUGGUCCGCCAGGCAUCUAAGCCAAGCCUGCUCUCCCCACCACCCACACCAGGGUACCGGGCCAAGAAGAACUAACUCUUAGACAUUCCAACCUGAUGGAGCCCCCAGACAACCACAGUCCCAUCUGAUGGGACCGGACGAGCAACGAAGGAACCACCUAGAUGGGCCCGGUCGGUCACAGAAUUGUGGGAAAUUUAAAGCACUGUUUUAAACCAUUAAAGUCUUUGACAGCUUGUCACGCAUCAAGGGAUAACCAAAAAGAAGGUAUCGUAAAAAUGAUCAGAAAUAAAAUACAUUACUUUUUAAAAAUGAUCAGAGAAGCCAUGCGUGGUGGUACCACCCAGCUCCUGGGAAGGUGAGUGAGGAGGACCUCUUGAGCAGAGUUAGAGACCUGGGCAACAUAGAGACUCCAUCUCCACAACUAUAAAUUAUUCUGAGAUAUCAUCCCACCAAGUAUUUACAUGCAUCAUAAACACUAAAAGGUAUAAGUUUCUUCAAGGACACUGAUUAUUUUG